GCGGAACGGGUAGAGUGAGAU
rnacentral:misc_RNA from 1 species